GUGGGGAAUAUUGGACAAUGGGCGAAAGCCUGAUCCAGCCAUGCCGCGUGUGUGAAGAAGGUCUUCGGAUUGUAAAGCACUUUAAGUUGGGAGGAAGGGCAGUAAGUUAAUACCUUGCUGUUUUGACGUUACCGACAGAAUAAGCACCGGCUAACUUCGUGCCAGCAGCCGCGGUAAUACGAAGGGUGCAAGCGUUAAUCGGAAUUACUGGGCGUAAAGCGCGCGUAGGUGGUUUUGUAAGUUGAAGGUGAAAUCCCCGGGCUCAACCUGGGAACUGCCUCCAAAACUACUGAGCUAGAGUACGGUAGAGGGUAGUGGAAUUUCCUGUGUAGCGGUGAAAUGCGUAGAUAUAGGAAGGAACACCAGUGGCGAAGGCGACUACCUGGACUGAUACUGACACUGAGGUGCGAAAGCGUGGGGAGCAAACAGGAUUAGAAACCCGGGUAGUCC
rnacentral:rRNA from 1 species